rnacentral:lncRNA from 1 species
CUCGUAGUCCAUCAAUUGUGACGUCCGUGAUUCCUAUCGACUCUUGGAUAGCAUUUGCUUUGGAGCGCCAUUUGGGAGUGAGACUCCGUAGGAUUUUCCGAACUAGAUCUUUGUUCGAGUAUAUUUUUCCGAGAGCAUGAACAUCAUUGACGAUUAUUGAGAAUCGUUCGAACAUAUUAUCGAUGUUUUCAUCUUCCCUUAUUCUAAAAAGUUCAUAUUCAUGUGUUAGAAAAUUAAUUUUAGAUUCUUGGACUUGAGACGUACCUUCAUAAGUGAUCUCGAGUUUAUCCCACAUUUCCUUUGCGGUUGUGCAACAAGAGAUUUUCCGAUAGUCNNN